GGAGAGGUGCCGGAGUGGCCGAACGGGCCGGUCUCGAAAACCGGUAAACCCGCAAGGGUUUCGGGGGUUCGAAUCCCCCCCUCUCCG
rnacentral:tRNA from 1 species